UUAUACCCUAAUUUUAAAAUUACACUACCUUUCUCUCUUUCUCGGAUUCUCUCUCUCCCUCCCAAUCUCACUUUCUCCUCCCCUCCAGUGUUCCUACCAAUCCCGAUCGAUCCCCUUCCCUUCGCGAGAGACGUACACGCACCGCCCCACCAAGAUUGUUGGCCCCUGAAACCCUCCACCCUUGAAGUUCACCUCCAUAGGGGCCUUUUAAGGCCGUCAACAGAGGCUUCAAAGUCGUGAUGACACUAAAAUUUUCGAAUGCUUCCGAUCAUUUUUUUAUCACCCCAAGCCACUACAAGCUGAAACCCCACCCCCACCCCCACCAUACUCAGUGUCACACGGGCUUCAAAACUCAAUCAUGGGUCAUCACCAAUCGUGGUCGAAAAGGAAAGAUGAACUCACUGAAAUUCAUGAAGGUCACAAGCAAAUCUGGUCACCACGGUUCGUUCCAAGCCAAACGACCCCAACCACGAGGUUCCCCUUAUCUUUGGCUUCGAAGUCUGGUUGCUAUUUUCUUGAACCACCACCGUGGAGUGGUGGUUCUGCUGCCGUCGCUAGAGCUCUGGUUAAUACCAUUAUUGGCUGUGAUCUCCGUGAGUUGAACUAUUGAUGAAAUAUUAGGAUUGGUGCAAGUCAUGGGCAAACUCAAGUUAUGCUCGAACUGUAACUAGUAAAGGUAAUCAGUCAUAAGGACAUCCUAUGAAUGUACGACAGAUGUACCUGACGUAGCAAGGCAUUAUAAUGUGCAGGUAAGAAUAAGGCAUAAUGUCUCAGUGCUGGUGGGCUGCAAGGGAUGUCAUCUUAAUAUGCAUAUUGUGAUUAACCAACCUGUAGGGUUGGUAGGGUUUCAAGGUCUUCUACAAGAGUCAUUUAUUACUAUUUUAAGUUUUUGUUUUCUUUGAAUGUUUACGAGAUGACUUGUCUUACAAACAUUACUCUUUAUGCAUCCAAGAUACUUUGUUUUUUUUAUUUUAACUAUUUGGGAUUCCAAUACAAUGCAUUAACAAUGAUUUCAGUAGUUAAGUAAUGAUUCAUGUUUUCAAAGUGGACCUUUAACGACCAUUUUCAAAACAUUGACUUUUCUAGAGGUGACCACUAGGAAACACUGUCGUUUUUAGUGAUUCAACAAAGUAUGAAAAUCAAGUCGUUACAAUUUUGUAUCAGAUCAUACUUUGAUUUAGGCUCCUGGAGACCCUCAGAGUAUGCAUAUGAAGAUUGGGAAGGCCUCAACACAACACACUGUAAGUAUUUUUUGUCUUGUCAGUGAGAUUUUGUAACGCCUCAUGUUUUGGGCACGUGGUAAUAGCAAUUCGGAUCGGGAUUUUAUUCCCAUAAUAUAUAUCAUACUUGGGUUGUAAUAUGAUUGAAAAUCAAAGUUCAAAUUAAGAUGCGACAUUAUUCUGAAUUUAAUUGACUUUUGUUCAAACUAAGAAUUUCUGUUCCGGACCGAAAUAAAAAUCUUACACGGGAAAAAUAUUAGAUAAUAAAUAUUAGAAAACAAAUAAUUAUGGCAAAUAAUUUUUUUUGGGCAUAGGAAUAUUAAGAGUUACAUGAGAGAAUUUUAAAUAAAAUUUUUAGGAAAGAAUCCUAAUAUGUAUUUUGAGAGAAAAUGCUUAUUUGACCUUAUUGGGGUAAACAAAUUAAAAUGGUUUUCACAAUUCUACAAGGGGACAUUGAUGACAUUUUUGGUGGCUAUAUUUAUAUUUUUAUCAUGUUUUAAUGGGUUUUAGGUUUAUACCAUCCUUGGGCCUUAGUUUUGGGCUCAAUCACCCCUUAAGUGGACUUUUGGGCAUAUUUCAAAAAACACUCGUGCAAAAAUUCAAGAAUGCACUAUAGUUUUAAAUUUUUAAGUUAAUUAUUUAAAUCAAAAUGGGAAAAUUAAUAGAUUAUUAGGAAGUGAAUGAGUGUAUUGGGCUAAUCACAUGUGGUAGUCAACUCUCAAUGGUGUCUUGUGAUACUUGUUGAGCCUAGAAGCUACUCCACCCCAAGCCACGUCAACUCACCAUCAUCACAGCCGCUCCCUCUCAUUUCACUCAUUCAAACAAGCUCUGAAAAAUUCAGAGCAGCCUUAGAUCUCUAUCUCUCUCUCAAGUUGUGUUCUCACUCUCUCUUGGUCUCUCAAGAAAAACUCCAUGGAUGCUUGAAUUUAAGCUUUGAUAAUACAAAGUUCAAGGUCUAGAAGCUCAAGGCUAUCACAAGUUUCUCAAGAUCUCUUAGAAGCUUGUAUUCAACCUUGAUAAUCAAGGAGGUAUUAAAGGAUAGUGGUGAGGCCCGAAACCUUGGAGGAACACAUACAACAAAAAUUGUAACGCCAUACUUCCUUAGAUUCAUUACAAAGUGAGUUUAAAACGUGCAAUUAACUCGCUAAUCGAGGUUUUAGGUUAAGAGUGUAGCUAAACUGUAAUAAAAGUCAUAUAAUUUGAAAUGUAACCAUUGAUUGAAAUUGUAAAACGUUAUACAUUUG